GAUGAACGCUGGCGGCGUGCCUAAUACAUGCAAGUCGAGCGAACAGACGAGGAGCUUGCUCCUCUGACGUUAGCGGCGGACGGGUGAGUUACAUGUGGAUAACCUACCUAUAAGACUGGGAUAACUUCGUGAAACCGGAGCUAAUACCGGAUAAUCUAUUGAACCGCAUGGUUCAAUAGUGUAAGACGGUUUUGCUGUCACUUAUAGAUGGCUCCGCGCCGCAUUAGUUAGUUGGUAAGGUAACGGCUUACCAAGGCAACGCUGCGUAGCCGACCUGAGAGGGGGAUCGGCCACACUGGAACUGAGACACGGUCCAGACUCCUACGAGAGGCAGCAGUAGGGAAUCUUCCGCAAUGGGCGAAAGACUGACGGAGCAACGCCGCGUGAGUGAUGCAGGUCUUCGGAUCGUAAAACUCUGUUAUUAGGGAAGAACAAAUGUAUAAGUAGCUAUGCACGUCUUGACGGUACCUAAUCAGAAAGCCACGGCUAACUACGUG
rnacentral:rRNA from 1 species